UACGAAGGGUGCAAGCGUUGCUCGGAAUUACUGGGCGUAAAGCGUGCGCAGGCGGUUCGUUGUGUCGGCGGGGAAAGCCCCGGGCUUAACCUGGGAAUGGCCGUUGAAACUGGCGAACUGGAGUGUGGCAGAGGGGGGUGGAAUUCCGCGUGUAGCAGUGAAAUGCGUAGAGAUGCGGAGGAACACCGAUGGCGAAGGCAGCCCCCUGGGCUAACACUGACGCUCAGGCACGAAAGCGUGGGGAGCAAACAGG
rnacentral:rRNA from 1 species